rnacentral:rRNA from 1 species
GUGACAGCAGCCGCGGUAAGACGAACCGUGCGAACGUUGUUCGGAAUCACUGGGCUUAAAGGGCGCGUAGGCGGGUGGCCAAGUCAGGGGUGAAAUCUUUCGGCUCAACCGGAAAACAGCUUCUGAUACUGGUCGUCUUGAGUGAGGUAGGGGCAUGUGGAACUUCCGGUGGAGCGGUGAAAUGCGUAGAUAUUCACAGGAACUCCGGUGGCGAAGGCGGCUCGCUGGACCUUUUCUGACGCUGAGGCGCGAAAGCUAGGGGAGCAAACGGGAUUAGAAACCCCGGUAGUCC